UACGUAGGGUGCAAGCGUUAAUCGGAAUUACUGGGCGUAAAGCGUGCGCAGGCGGUGAUGUAAGACAGAUGUGAAAUCCCCGGGCUUAACCUGGGAACUGCGUUUGAAACUGAAAGGCUAGAGUGUGGCAGAGGGGGGUGGAAUUCCACGUGUAGCAGUGAAAUGCGUAGAGAUGUGGAGGAACACCGAUGGCGAAGGCAGCCCCCUGGGCUAACACUGACGCUCAUGCACGAAAGCGUGGGGAGCAAACAGG
rnacentral:rRNA from 1 species